CGAUUCAUGCGAUUAACAAUAACAUAAAAGCACAUAAGUUGAUCAAGUUCAUGCACUUAAUAAAACAAGUAGAAGAAAUAAUCCGGAAUUAAAACUUGCAUAAAAUCAUAGAAUUGGGUUCAUAAAUCCCACAUAGGGUUCCAAAUAAAAUCCUAGAAAUAAGUAGUUUAGCUACUCAUGAUUAAAUCAAAAACGCAAAUAAUAUAAAUCAUAGACGAUAAAUCUUUGCUCGAAGUCUUCGUAUUCUUCGUCUUCGUUAUUGCUUUGUUGCUCUUGAAAUUGCGUAAAAAGAUGGAUAAUUGUGUGCUUGGAAUGGUCUUAUAUAGGGUGAAGAACUUGGGGAAGAAGGCAGUUUCCUUGUGCGAUUAAAAUCCCUUUACUGCGCAAUUUCGGGGUAUGGGACGGGGGUCCCAUAAUUUGCCCUAAAACUGGGACGGGGGUCCGAGCCUUGUUUCUUCAGAAUUUUGAUAUUUUCACUUUUGACCCAUAUUUUCGCCAAAAUUGCAGUUUUGAC
rnacentral:lncRNA from 1 species